CACUGUAAAAAUACACUCUAAUGUCGCAAAUUAACAAAACAAACAACAUCUUCUAGUUUCUUAGAACACAAUUUCUUCUGGUAGACUGAAACACAAGCAUUAAAACAUAAAGUUAAAACAAACAAUCCAUCAUAGUUCCGCACACCAAAAAGUUAUAACAACCCAUCAUUGUUAACCAUCUUCAUGCCUUGCAUAAGUGAGAUAUCUUCAAGAGUUCCAAACCCUACAAAAACAAUGAUGUCUUGCUAAAUGAUACUAUAAGAAUAUGAUCUUACCAAUAAGAAUAAACGAAGUUUAGGAUCUUACCAAUACACCAACAAAAUAAUGUUACAUUCUAACUAGCCUGAAUAACCAAAUAUCAUAAC
rnacentral:lncRNA from 1 species